AACUCUCAAGCAGCAUAGCUUUAUUGUUAUGUCUGUUUGGAUUUGGACUCUGCCGCUUUAACGAGUGGCUGGUCUUAAAUGUAUUAGCUGGCCUUUGUGAGUCUUGGUUCUACUCGGCGUGAUAAUUAUCUGACGUUGAGGACAGUCUUCGGACUGGCCAAGGUCUUCAAAGACCGCUUCUAAUCGUCUUCGGACAAUCAAAUUUCUAC
rnacentral:misc_RNA from 2 species